rnacentral:rRNA from 1 species
AACGAACGCUGGCGGCAGGCUUAACACAUGCAAGUCGAACGCACCGCAAGGUGAGUGGCAGACGGGUGAGUAACACGUGAGGAUCUGCCCAAUGGUACGGAAUAGCUCCGGGAAACUGGAAUUAAUACCGUAUGUGCCCUUCGGGGGAAAGAUUUAUCGCCAUUGGAUGAACCCGCGUCGGAUUAGCUAGUUGGUGUGGUAAAGGCGCACCAAGGCGACGAUCCGUAGCUGGUCUGAGAGGAUGAUCAGCCACACUGGGACUGAGACACGGCCCAGACUCCUACGGGAGGCAGCAGUGGGGAAUAUUGGACAAUGGGCGCAAGCCUGAUCCAGCCAUGCCGCGUGAGUGAUGAAGGCCUUAGGGUUGUAAAGCUCUUUCGCCGACGAAGAUAAUGACGGUAGUCGGAGAAGAAGCCCCGGCUAACUUCGUGCCAGCCGCCGCGGUAAAAC